AACAGUAGAAUUCUAAAUUAUAAAAUUUUAUAACGAUAAACUAAAAUUGAUUAAGGGUAAAAUUUAAUAGUAGAGGUUUGAAUUUAUCAUAAUAAAGAUAUUAAUUAAAACAAGGAUUAGAUACCCUUUUAUUUUUAUUCAAUAUAUAAAUUGGAGAGUACGAGCAAUAGCUUAAAAACUAAAGAAUAUGGCGGUGUUUUAUUCGAUCAGGGUGACAUGUAUCUUAAUUUGAUAGUCCACGGUUUUUAAGCCUGACUUUGAAAUUCAGCAUGUGUACUGCCGUUUUACAUAGUUUUAAAAAAUUGUGUAUAAUAUAUGAAUCUUUCAUAUAAUUAGUCAGGUCAAAGCGCAGUCUAUAGUCAGGUGAGAAUGUGUUACAUUUAUUUAAACAUUCAAUUUAUUGAUUUAAAUUUUAAUAAGAAGAAGAACUUGAUAGUAAUUAAAUUGAUUAAAUUUAAUGAAAAGGAUUUUAACGCGUACAAAUCGCCCGUCACUCCUUUAUAAAGG
rnacentral:rRNA from 1 species